UUCCUGUUUAGGGUUUUCGCCAUUAACAAAGAUGGUGCUUAUGGGGCAGGUUCCCUAACAGUCAGGAUUCCGGUUGCAGUUUUUCUCCCCCGCCCCAAAGAUACGUGGUUGCAGACGGAGAAAUGGAGGCCAGAGACAAACAAGUACUCCGCUCACUUCGCCUGGAGCUGGGUGCAGAGGUAUUGGUGGAGGGACUGGUUCUUCAGUACCUCUACCAGGAAGGAAUCUUGACGGAAAACCAUAUUCAAGAAAUCAAUGCUCAAACCACAGGCCUCCGGAAAACAAUGCUCCUGCUGGAUAUCCUACCUUCCAGGGGCCCUAAAGCAUUUGAUACAUUCCUAGAUUCCCUACAGGAGUUUCCCUGGGUCAGGGAGAAGCUGAAGAAGGCAAGGGAAGAGGCCAUGACCGACCUGCCUGCAGGAACUCACUGUUUGACCAGUGAGACAGACAUGAAGCUCUAAUUACAACACAAUGCAAUCAAGCCUGCACCUGAGUAUCGAGUCUAUGGGAAUGCAGAGGAGAAAUGAUCCAUUUGCCUGGCUUCUUGGGAAGUGAGAGGUAUGGGAAAUAAUAAGGCUGUAUCUAAGGCUCUGUCACUUGGGCAAGUUACUCCACCUUUGGGUGCCAGUUUCCCCACAUGUAAAAUGCAAACAAAUAACAGUACCCACCUAUGGUCACAGUGAGGAUUCCAUGAGAUGAAAGGUAUAACAUGCUUAGAACAGUGCCUGGCAAAGAUGUUUUGUUAAACCAUUGAGUUGAAUUCUUUUGGCUAUCAGAGUUUUUCUUUUUCUUUUUCUUUUUUGAGACGGAGUCUUGCUCUGUCGCCAGGCUGGAGUGCUGUGGCAUGAUCUUGGCUCACUGCAAUCUCCACCUCCCUGUUUCAAGUGAUUCUCCUGCCUCAGCCUCCCGACUACAGGUGGGUGCCACCACGCCCAGCUAAUUUUUGCAUUUGUAGUAGAGACGGGGUUUCACCAUAUUGGCCAGGAUGGUCUCAAUCUCUUGACCUCGUGAUCCACCUGCCUCAGCCUCCCAAAGUGCUGGGAUUACAGGCGUGAGCCACUGCGCCCGGCCCAGUUUUUCUAAUCUUCUUCACCCUCCCAGGGCUCUGAGAAGUGUGAGGGUAGAAUCACCUCCUGCAGAUGUUUGUGGUAUAGAAAUAGAAACUGCAUAGUCUCUCAAUAUCUUUAUCAGGACUCUAAAGAUAAGUGGCUGUGAACUGUGGCACACUUCAGAGCAUACUCAGAGUUGGGGUGGAUUCUCAUCUAACAGUUGGCUACCAUUAAAUGAAUAACUACAGUCUUUGAGCAAAUUCUUGCUGAUUGCAAAACACUAUGCAAGUUACCAGAGAUACAAAGAUGAAUAAGCCAUAGUCUCUGCUCUCAGGAUCUCAGCCUACUGGGGAGACAGCUAUAACCACCAGCAACUAUGGCAAGCACAGAGGGAGCAAUUAAGUUGGCCACAGAGGAGGUAAUACUUCAACUGAGCUUUUGUAAGUCCUGCCCAAGUUAGCAUGUUGGUCUCUUUGGGAGGCCUUAAUGUGUAUGGGCAGCAGAAUCCCAUUUAACUUAUUUUACAUCCAGUUUGACAAAUGGCUCUCCUUGCCAUGGGUAUGCAAGAUAAAUAUGCCUCCAAAAUGUGAUCUCAGAGCAAUUUAGAAACUAAGUGGCAAAUAUCCUAUACAUCAAGAUGACAGUGACAUUGAGAAACAUGUGGUUUGUUAAUCCACAGUGGGAUCAAGAUCAGGCUUCAAGUUUUAGGUAUUAGGCUUAUUUUGGGGUUCUUUUUUAUGACAUCCCUAUCCCUUUUCCUCUAAAACUCCCACAUAUUCAAAUUAGAUGUUGCUGGCGUACAGGGGAUGUUUUUUAAUGUAAUAACUGCCUGUUUACUUCUUGGAACUAUAAACAAAGCUUAGAAGAACAGGGAUUCUAUCUUGUUGGCAUUUAGUGUUCUUACAGGAAAAUUAAAGUCUCACAAAGACACAGUUCAGUGAGCCAAUUAAGCCUUGUCUAUUAAACUUAUGCAAAAUAUAUGGCAAUAAUUCUGAUAGCUAUUGUUAAUUCAAAGCAUAGGCUAUGAAAUCCAGGUUUGAGCACUUAAAAAGUAAAAAAAAACCCAACAUCUUGGCAAUACUCAUAAAGUUUCCAUUUCAUUUUCAUAUUCUAUCUCUAAGCAGGGCUGUUUUUGAUGUCAAAUUACAUUCUUAAUGGAGAAUAUUUGGAGGAAGUAUAAAACGGAUUGGAUUUGAUCAAGUAGUUACUAGUCUUUCUUUUGGUGACAUAUAACCUCCUACUUGUCAGCUUCUAGAAGAUGAAUCUAUUUUGUGAGGACUUGGCCAAUAUCAAGGUCUUCAGCACGACUCAUCAGCCUGUUGCUAAUUUGAGGACAACAAAUGCCUACAAAUGCUUUAAGGUGUUGGCCAUGAUCCUUAUGAUGGGGAGGAAGGGAAUCACCAAUUUUUUACCCCAUCCCACUGAGCAACUUAGAGAUGACCUAAGGCCUCGUUACCUGUGUGGAGUAACUGGGAAUUGGAAGGUGAGGUCCAAUUAUAUCCAAGUCUUGGCAUCAAACUGUGAAAGACAAAAUGCACUGGACAAUUAAGGAUAUGAUUUUAUUCAUGCCCUUGCAAUAGGGAGAACAUUUAUUAAUGAAGAAUAACUCAAAGGAAAGGAAGGGGUCCUGGUCUCUCAUGAAUCCUCAUGGGAGCCUUGAGGAAGGAUGAAGGUGGGUCUUAUCACAGAAUAUUCCAGGGCUGGGUUGUCCUUUGUGGGGAUGGCUGUUUCUUUUGAAACACAAAAGGGUGGGAGAUUUCUUUCUCUCUCCCUUUUUUUUUAAGAGACAGGGUCUCACUCUGUCUCCCCAGCUGGAGUGCAGUGGUGUAAUCACGGCUCACUGCAACCUCAGCCUCUCGGGCUCAAGUGAUCUACUUCAGCCUCUCAAGUAGCUGAGACUACAGAACUACAGGUGCACCACCCCGACCAGCUAAUUUUUUUUUUUUUUUUUUUUUUUUUUUGUAGAGAUGGGGUCUCCCCGUGUUGCCCAGGCUGAUCUCGAGCUCCUGGGCUCAAGCCAUCCUCCUGCCUUGGUCUCCCAUAGUACUGGUAUUACAGACAUUAGCCACUGUAUUUGGCUCAUGUAGGGGGUUUGUUAACCAUCACUACUUUUAGGGAACAAAAGCCUUGGAGGAAGUUUAACAGUGUGAAAAUUCUUCAACUUUUAAGAGGCCAACGCAAAUUUGAAAAAAAAAAAAAGUUUUUAUAAGGUUUAGGUAUGAGAUAUCAGAAUUCUGACAUCUUAACUGUUUGCUUGUUCAAUAAGAGGUACUUAAGCUAACUCCGUAUUUAAUUUGAGUAAAGAAAAACAAAUGGCCUGUCUGACCAAAGCUAAACAACAGGAAAGGAAACACAGCUCCUUUUACUUUCCUAGAGAAUCAUGGACCAAUUUUCAAUUUGGACCAAUCAUGGAACCUUUUUCUGUAGCUUAUAGAAAUUCAUUCAAAGUGUACUUUUUGAGCACCUGCCAUGUGCCAGGCAUGAAUAUAGGUGGUGGGGAUAUAGCAGUCAAUGUGACAGUCUGUAAUUUCUCCCCUUGAGCCCCUUGCUAUGGAGCAAGAGAAUGCAGCAAAGGGCAGGAAGAGCCAGGCAAAGGAGUAGUACUGUUUCCAAAAGGUCAGCCAGAGAAGACCCCCACAAGAAGGUGACAGGAGUAAAAACCCGAGGGAGGGAGCCGUGGUGAGGCCUGAAAGAACAUUUUGGGCAGAGGGAACAGUAAAAUGGGAAAACCCUGAGAUGGGAACUGUUAAAAUAAUUAAUCAGGAGGACAUUUACAUGAGUCACCUUCAGCACCUUUGGUUGCUACCUAAGCAAAUGGAAAACCAACUCAAUGUAAACAGUUAAAUGAAACCAGCGUAACCAAUCAGAAACUGCCAGCUAACUUCUAACUAGAGACUUUACCAAUCAGAAACUGACCUCUCACCAGGGACUUUCUGCUUUAACCAAAUAUUUUCUUUGUCUUGCUUCCAUGAGCACCUUAUAAAAGCCCCCUCCUCUCCUCCCCUCGGAGCGCCGGGCUGCUUGUGGUCUGGUGCUGCCCGAUUCCUGAAUCAUUUAAAGCUCAAAUAAACUCAUGACAUUUUAA